AUUGAACGCUGGCGGCAUGCCUUACACAUGCAAGUCGAACGGUAACGCGGGGCAACCUGGCGACGAGUGGCGAACGGGUGAGUAAUGCAUCGGAACGUGCCCAGUAGGGGGGGAUAGCCCGGCGAAAGCCGGAUUAAUACCGCAUACGACCUACGGGUGAAAGGGGGGGAUCGCAAGACCUCUCGCUAUUGGAGCGGCCGAGUUCCGAUUAGGGAGUUGGUGGGGUAAAGGCUAACCAAGCCAACGAUCUGUAGCUGGUCUGAGAGGAGGACCAGCCACACUGGGACUGAGACACGGCCCAGACUCCUACGGGAGGCAGCAGUGGGGAAUUUUGGCCAAUGGGCGCAAGCCUGAUCCAGCCAUGCGGCGUGCGGGAAUAAGGCCUUCGGGUUGUAAACCGCUUUUGUCAGGGAAGAAACGCUCCGAGAUAAUACCUCGGGGUAAUGACGGUACCUGAAGAAUAAGCACCGGCUAACUACGUGCCAGCAGCCGCAGUAA
rnacentral:rRNA from 1 species